UACGAAGGGUGCAAGCGUUACUCGGAAUUACUGGGCGUAAAGCGUGCGUAGGUGGUUUGUUAAGUCUGUUGUGAAAGCCCCGGGCUCAACCUGGGAAUGGCAAUGGAUACUGGCAAGCUAGAGUGCGGUAGAGGGUAGUGGAAUUCCCGGUGUAGCGGUGAAAUGCGUAGAUAUCUGGAGGAACACCGGUGGCGAAGGCGGCAUCCUGGACCAACACUGACGCUGAUGAGCGAAAGCCAGGGGAGCAAACGGG
rnacentral:rRNA from 1 species